GGGAGGGUUAUGGCUGAGAUAUCCACAUUUCCAGACCACUGAUGUGUUUGGACCAGGCAACCUCUAAAGUACCAUCUAACCUCAAGAUUUAUGAACCUCUCAAAGUGACCCACAUGGGGAAUUUUCUACUCUGUCGCUUUGGGAAGUGUGAAUGAACAGGUUUCUACUUGGGAACAUGUCACAAGUCCUGGUUUUAUGAGCUGCUCUGGACAGAUUUGCCCCAUCUCAGGGGGUCAUGGGGUAAGCAGCAAGCAGCCAGGAGUCAGGGCUGCCUGGCCAGGACCCCCAGGGCAGAUCUCAGCCCAGCUGGAUCAAAGCCCUCCAGCUGUGCAUUCCCCACUUCCACAGAGAUUUCCAGGCUGCUCUCUGUGGGCAUCAUUAGCCGACCCCUCAGGGAGGAAGUAUAGCUGAGGAGGAACAGAGAAGGGAGUUGUCAUUGUGGUCAGAAGCUGGGGCCAGAACCCACAUCUUCCAAUCCCUGCUCUUCAGUGUCUGUGCUGGAGUGGCCAAGCAGGGAGACCCACAGAGAUGUUGGUGGCGGCCUCACUCUGGGCAGUCAGAGGCCUCAGCAGCCAGGGACUGGGGAUGAGGGUGAGCCAGGGCAGGGAGUCUCUGCCGUUCCUGCUUCCUGGCUGCAGCUGGGAGACGAGCCCUCCACAACUGCCCUGUGUCUAAGAACGCUGUCUUCCGCCCAUUCCCCUCUUGCACAGACCAGCAGUUUUCAGCAGCUUCGUGAGGCUACAAUGUCUCCAGGUGGGUCUGACAUCGCAGCUUGUAGUGUCACUGGGGGCUAUGUGAGGGUCCUGCUAAGGAAGGGCAGGGUACUGUGGGGACCAGCACCACAGCUGCUCCCCGGCUCUGCCCUGCUGUGGAAAUGACAGUGGAGGCUGCAGCUGAUGCCUCUGGGAAACAUCCUGUCCCCCUUUUCAUCUGCCCAGGGCAGCUUCCAAGGGGUUGCUGUUCACUCUCAGGGGACUCCUAGCUACAGAGUGAAGUCUUGGGACAGGAGACAUCAGGGCAAAGUCCUAACUGGGCUGGAGGAAUGAGGUGCAGCUAAAUAAAGGCCCAGGGGGACACCCAAAUGCCCUUGAGUGUCUCCCUUAGCCACCAGGGGCUGGGCAGAGAGCAGGGGCUGUGAUGCUGUGGGCUUUGGCCUCAGCCCAUGCCCUCCUGGGUUCUGGUAACCUUGGCAGGCACCCUGGGUUGCCUAGAGGGUGAUGGAGGUAGCACCUAUCCCUUUGGAGAGGGGUGCCUGUGUGGAGGCUGCAGUUUGCUUUGCAGUGGCUAACAGCCUCCCCCUUCCUCAGGUGCCUCCUCCCACAUGGAUCCCUGGCCUCAGCCUGCCCAGGCAGGCUGGCACAAGGUGAGGGCUCCCUUGCCAGCCCCUCCUCCCUGUCUGUCUCUUCCUUCCAGCGGGUUUGGCUGAAGUGUGGAGGGAGGGAAUGCCACUCUUUCCAUCCAGGCCCUCAGCAGCAGGCACCUCACAACUCUCUCCCACCUGGACACAGCUAGCAGCUCCUGCCAUGGACAGGUGGUACCUGGGUGGCAGCCCCAAGGGGGAUGUGGACCCAUUCUACUAUGACUAUGAGACUGUCCGCAAUGGGGGCCUGAUCUUCGCUGCUCUGGCCUUCGUGGUGGGGCUCAUCAUCAUUCUCAGCAAAAGACUCCGCUGCAGGGGCAAAAAGAAGCAUCGGCCAGUCGGUGAAGAUGAGCUGUAACGACAGAGUCAGCUGUGCCAUUAUGGCACUGGAGACAAUUGAAAAGCCUUCCCUGAGCUGCAGACCUUUGUCCCAGCACUGCCAGGCCUUCAGGCUGAAGGAGGCACCAGGCUCCAUGUGACCCCUGGAUGGGCAUCACCUCUUUGUACCCCAUGUCACCUCUUCCUAAUAAUAAAGCUGAGCUCAGAGAUGACUCCUUCCUUAGCCUGCCUCCCCGACCCCCACCUUCUCUCCUGUAACUGCCAUGACCCAUCUGUCCAAGUUAAGUACAGUACGGCCUGGUUUCUCUUGCUUUUUGAUUAAUCACCCUAUUAAAGCAAGUAGGCCUCUCCUUGCCCCUGCAUUACCAAGAGCCCUGGACAGAGGACUCAGCCUGUUUUCCAAAUGCCAGGCAACAAGAAACCCAGGAGUCUGAAUGUCACAGGUUCAAAGCUAUCGGGUCUGCCGAGUGCUGCUUGGGUAUCUGCCCAGGCUCUGAGUGUCACUGUUGGAACUAUCCUGCUGGAAGUUGCUGCAGACAGGCCUGGGAGGCCCAAAGUGUGGCAGCUGGUGGCCAUGUUAUGUGGUCUGCCAUCUCCCCAAGUCCUGAAGACCAUCAGUCCUUACAGAAUCACAGAAGGCUUAAGCACAGAAAGUCUUAAGAAAGAAAAAUAGACGAUCCUUACCUUUCAGAAUUUGCUCUGCAUGUGCGCUCAUUCACUGGUGACAAAUAAAGUGUGACAAGCCAACCCC